UACGUAGGGGGCUAGCGUUGUCCGGAUUUAUUGGGCGUAAAGAGCGUGUAGGCGGCCAGGUAGGUCUGCUGUGAAAACUCGAGGCUCAACCUCGAGACGUCGGCGGAAGCCAUCUGGCUAGAGUCCGGAAGAGGAGAGUGGAAUUCCUGGUGUAGCGGUGAAAUGCGCAGAUAUCAGGAAGAACACCCGUGGCGAAGGCGGCUCUCUGGGACGGUACUGACGCUGAGACGCGAAAGCGUGGGGAGCGAACAGG
rnacentral:rRNA from 1 species